AUGGGGAUCAGAACUAUGUACGCCACCGUGAGCUUGCUGGAGGAAAGAACCCGAGGUACCACUGUAUCUUGUUUCCCGCUCUUGGCAAGGAGACACAAAUGCUUGCCCAAGGAACAGAUUGUCAUCGCAUCUUUUUCUUCAUUUGCAGCAUCUCCCACAGCCCCAGUCGUCUUCCCAUUGUCUCCCUGUUGCCAAGACCUCACCACUGCCUCCCAGGUUACCGUGGGCUGUCUGGUCUCUGGCUACUUUCCCGAACCAGUCAAAGUACAGUGGAAUUCAGGAUCCUCGUCUGACAUCCGGACCUUCCCUGCUCUAUUGGAUUCAUCCAGGGGCCACUACACCCUCAGCAGCCAGCUCACCAUCCCAACCAGCACUUGGGAAUCAGAGAAGCUUCAAUGCCAUAUUGUACAUACAGCUACCAGCUCCACAAUCAACAAAGAGAUUGGACCCUGUGAAAAGAAAGAUCCCGUAGCCCCAAAGGUCCGCUUGCUCCAUUCCUCCUGCAAGGCCAGCUCCAGAGAUGCCACCAUUGAGUUGAUGUGCGUUAUCUCCAACUUCUACCCCAAUAAUGUGACGGUAAAUUGGCUGGUGAGUGAGAAACCUAUGUCGCAACCCUCUUUCACUGAGCAGCCCUGGAAAGACACCCAUGGGUACACCUUCAGUGCCAUCAGCACAGUCAACAUUAGCCAAGCAGACUGGGAAGAUGGGAAUGUCUACGUCUGCCAGGUGUCCCACACAGCAACCCAAACUUCUGUGAGAAGCAAAGCCAAGAUCUGUGAAGACUCCUCAGGAACUCCCCUCAAAGUUUUCAUCCUACCCCCAAGCCCCAACGACCUUUACAUGGAUAAGCAACCCAAACUCAGCUGCAUGAUAGUCAACUUAGAGAGAGAAGAGGAAGAACUGGAAGUGACCUGGUCACGACAGACAGCAGGAAGUCUAAGCCCUGAGCCACUUGCAUGGAGAGAGGAGGUGAAUAACACCUUCACCGCAUCCAGCUCUGUGAUCAUUUGUAUCUCCUCCAGUCCUCAGCUGACCCAAUCUGGCCCUGGAAUCGUGAAGCCAGGCAAGUCCUUCAAACUGACCUGUUCGGUCUCUGGUGCCCAAGUAUCUGCUCCAGCCCACAGCUGA